GACGAACGCUGGCGGCGUGCCUAAUACAUGCAAGUAGAACGCUGAAGAGAGGAGCUUGCUCUUCUUGGAUGAGUUGCGAACGGGUGAGUAACGCGUAGGUAACCUGCCUGGUAGCGGGGGAUAACUAUUGGAAACGAUAGCUAAUACCGCAUGAUAUUAAUUGUCGCAUGAUAAUUAAUUGAAAGAUGCAAUUGCAUCACUACCAGAUGGACCUGCGUUGUAUUAGCUAGUUGGUGAGGUAACGGCUCACCAAGGCGACGAUACAUAGCCGACCUGAGAGGGUGAUCGGCCACACUGGGACUGAGACACGGCUCAGACUCCUACGGGAGGCAGCAGUAGGGAAUCUUCGGCAAUGGGGGGAACCCUGACCGAGCAACGCCGCGUGAGUGAAGAAGGUUUUCGGAUCGUAAAGCUCUGUUGUAAGAGAAGAACGGGUGUGAGAGUGGAAAGUUCACACUGUGA
rnacentral:rRNA from 1 species